GCACAGAGAGCUUGCUCUCGGGUGACGAGUGGCGGACGGGUGAGUAAUGUCUGGGAAACUGCCUGAUGGAGGGGGAUAACUACUGGAAACGGUAGCUAAUACCGCAUAACGUCGCAAGACCAAAGAGGGGGACCUUCGGGCCUCUUGCCAUCAGAUGUGCCCAGAUGGGAUUAGCUAGUAGGUGGGGUAACGGCUCACCUAGGCGACGAUCCCUAGCUGGUCUGAGAGGAUGACCAGCCACACUGGAACUGAGACACGGUCCAGACUCCUACGGGAGGCAGCAGUGGGGAAUAUUGCACAAUGGGCGCAAGCCUGAUGCAGCCAUGCCGCGUGUAUGAAGAAAGGCCUUCGGGUUGUAAAGUACUUUCAGCGGGGAGGAAGGUGUUGUGGUUAAUAACCG
rnacentral:rRNA from 1 species